GUGAUCUGGUUUAGUUCCCGAUCAUGAUCGGGUUAAUCGGAUCAUAGUUUCUGUAAAGUGAUUUUUGUUGUUAUUUAUAGGAUGUGGUCCAACUAUGAUUUAUGAAGAAAAGGUUGUUUAAAUUUUGGAAUGGAAAAAACAAAAUCGUGUACCUCUUGUCAAAUUGUAUGUAUCAUAUGCUUUUGUGGAAUUGGUACUUAUUUGAUAUCAACAGGAAGAGGUUACCCCAAGAACUCCAAAUUGAUUAUAAAUUCUUUAGGAAUGGGUAGUUUUGCACUAGGCGUUAAAGGAUUAUUGAAUCUUUUUCGAGAAAAAAAUAAUAAAUUAGUAAGAGACUGAUAUGAGAGUAUAUAAAACAUAUUUAUUUGACCUGUAAACAUAUUAGGGUAAAAUUAUUUUUAUACAAUGUGUAAAAACAUUAGCAUUAUAAAUAAAGCAUAUAUUUCAAACCAA